rnacentral:tRNA from 2 species
UAUGGCAUGGUGGAACUGGCAGACACGCUAGCCUGUCAAGCUAGUGGUCUUUUAGACCGUACGGGUUCGAUCCCCGUUGCCCGAA